GACGAACGCUGGCGGCGUGCUUAACACAUGCAAGUCGAACGGAAAGGCCCUGCUUUUGUGGGGUGCUCGAGUGGCGAACGGGUGAGUAACACGUGAGUAACCUGCCCUUGACUUUGGGAUAACUUCAGGAAACUGGGGCUAAUACCGGAUAGGAGCUCCUGCUGCAUGGUGGGGGUUGGAAAGUUUCGGCGGUUGGGGAUGGACUCGCGGCUUAUCAGCUUGUUGGUGGGGUAGUGGCUUACCAAGGCUUUGACGGGUAGCCGGCCUGAGGGGGUGACCGGCCACAUUGGGACUGAGAUACGGCCCAGACUCCUACGGGCGGCAGCAGUGGGGAAUAUUGCACAAUGGGCGGAAGCCUGAUGCAGCAACGCCGCGUGCGGGAUGACGGCCUUCGGGUUGUAAACCGCUUUCGCCUGUGACGAAGCGUGAGUGACGGUAAUGGGUAAAGAAGCACCGGCUAACUACGUG
rnacentral:rRNA from 1 species